rnacentral:sRNA from 1 species
GUUCUACUUUUGUUUUUGA